GCAAAGGACUAGCAAUUGGAGAGAGG
rnacentral:piRNA from 1 species